UCAUGAACCACAAAUUCAAGAAGGAUUUGUCGAAGGAAAUUGAAUUUAAGUUUAAACAUUUGUGUGAAUGAUGAUUUGGUUGCAAAUAAUAGGUACCCAUUUAAAAUAGCUCAAGUAGAGAAUAACUUUCUGAAUAGGAAUAUAUCAUAGACCCCAUGAGUGGACAUAUUUCUCCAACAAUGUAUAUAUUUCAUUUUUUUUCCUUUUCUCUUUUAAGACUAUCAGUUUGUUUAAACCCAGAAUAAUAAAACUUGAGUGGUAGCCUCUUUGUUCAAACUUCCAGCUAGAGUCUCUCAGUUCCAAACCAAAUUCUCCUAAAGAAAUUUGAUUAGCCCUUCAGUUAAGGGAUCUAACCCUGACCCAAUAAACUUUGGGCAGGGGAUAUAGUCUGACUUAGCCAGCUGCCCUCUCAUUAAGGGCAUUUGAAGCAAACUCUGAGAAGGGGCCAGAGGCAGGGCAGUGGAUCAAUGUUAGUUAUCAGAGAAAGGCAGCAUGGGCCACCAUACACCCUAGGAAGAGCCAGUCCAACAUUGAGGAACCUAAAUUUUGAUCCUGUACAUAUACAGGCUUUCAGAAUUUUCCUAAACUUCAUGUAGACUUGCAAAGAGACAACUGCACCUCUAUCUUCCGUAUGACCUAUCGGGCCUUCCUGUCUUAUUCUGCACUGUACAUUGUAUCACUGUCCUAAGUUAUUUGGUUAUAGAAGAGAUGGGUCUCCAAAAGACUUAAUGUGGCUAUUUGUACUUGAACAUGGUACCAUCUGAAAUCAAAUAGAUAAACAGUGCAUUACAUUUUAGAGAGUUGUAUUCCCAAAAGAGGCACCAACAUCUUUGUAAGAGAUUGUUGUUAGAGAUUAUGACUUAGAUUGAAAACAAUUUUGUGAUCCCAAUCUUCUAUAGGAAGAUUCUUAUACAAGAAGCAGUCUGAGAAAGCUACAUAGGUCCUCCAAAAGCCACAUUUCCAAUGCUGUCUCCAUAUGUGGCCAAGAAUCAUCAUGAGAAACAAGACCCUUUCAGGAAGUGGACCAAGAUCCCAGGGAGCAGACCCAGGGCUUCAUCAAGGAGCAUUCUCUGUGCCCAGGAACAUGGUGCUUGCAAAGUUUGAAUACCACAAUUUCAGAAUUUCUAUAGGCCAGUGACUGCUGUGUUCCUCUUGUCUUCCCCUUCUUUGGCUUGGCCAUGUAUGAGAGUGAGAGCAACAGAAUUCACUGCUGCCCAGAAGCUUUAAAUGGUGUCUCAUGGAUCUCCCACUGCUCUUUUUUCUCUGGAUGUCCUGGAUAGGAACUUCUUCUUCAAUUUGGGUCCUGAAAUGAAGACAUCAUGAGCAUAGCCAUUGUCACUCUGUGUAGGACAAGUAGUAUGAGUGAGAAAUAAACACUAGUUGCUAUGA